rnacentral:rRNA from 1 species
CCUACGGGAGGCAGCAGUGAGGAAUAUUGGUCAAUGGCCGAGAGUCUGAACCAGCCAAGUAGCGUGAAGGAUGACUGCCCUAUGGUUUGUAAACUUCUUUUAUAGGGGAAUAAAGUUUUCCACGUGUGGGAUUUUGUAUGUACCCUAUGAAUAAGGAUCGGCUAACUCCGUGCCAGCAGCCGCGGUAAUACGGAGGAUCCGAGCGUUAUCCGGAUUUAUUGGGUUUAAAGGGAGCGUAGGUGGAUUGUUAAGUCAGCGGUGAAAGUUUGCGGCUCAACCGUAAAAUUGCAGUUGAAACUGGCAGUCUUGAGUAUAGUAGAGGUGGGCGGAAUUCGUGGUGUAGCGGUGAAAUGCUUAGAUAUCACGAAGAACUCCGAUUGCGAAGGCAGCUCACUGGACUGUAACUGACACUGAGGCUCGAAAGUGUGGGGAUCAAACAGGAUUAGAUACCCUAGUAGUC